rnacentral:rRNA from 1 species
GGUGACGAUGGCGAGGACGUAACACCCGUUCCCAUUCCGAACACGGCAGUGAAGGGCCUCUACGGCGAGGGUACUGUGGCAGGCGGCCAUGGGAGAGUAGCAAGUCGCCG